UCUAUUUCCAAAACAACAAAUCUCUUUCAAAUAUGGUAUCUUUUUCUUAGAAGUUAUUUUUGUCAUGCAUUUAUUGAGCACCAGAUACCCUAAACGAUAUCAACGUUCUUGAUCGUUCUCUAGUUUUUAAUGAUAUAUUAAAUAGUAUGGCUCCAACUGUGAAUUACUUUGUCAACGACCGCCAGUAUCAUUUGGGUUACUAUCUCAUUGAUGGUAUUUAUCCCAACUGGGCUACUUUUAUUCAAUCUAUUCCACUUCCACAGAGUGACAAAUAUGAUAGUACAAGACGAACGAGCUGAAUACACUCAGCUUGACACCGCAUAAUUCAAACUAAGAGAAGGAUAAAUACUUUGUGGAAGUUAAAUAGACUGGAUAAAAGUUGCCCUGUUGAUUUUAAUAUCAAAGAUUUUAUUUAACUUUUUUUCGUUAAACUUAGAUUGUUUGACAUACUUUCUUCUCCAAAUAAAUAUAGGCAAAAUGUUUAACUACAAUCAUGAGGGUAACGUACUUUCUUCAUCUCUCUCUCUCUCUCUAUCCCUCUUAGUCCAUUCCUCAAUUCUUUUGUUACCAUGGUUGUUCAUCUAAAUUAUAAAGUAGAAUUUAUCAUAUUUUUUUUAUCAAACAAUAUGAUUUUAAUGAAUUUAACUAAUUUAGAUAGCUAUUUGUUUAAUAGAGCAAAUCGAUAUGUGCAUUUACAAAAAUCUUUUUUUUUUAUCAUAUAUCAUAUAUAUUAAUAUUUUUUUUCUUUUACAGGAACAUGAAUAUUUUUUUAUCAAACUCAUAUGUUCUUAUAUGAUACGGGUAUAAAAAGUUUUUGUUUAAUGCAAAUUCUAACCAUCAAACUAAAUUUUGAUUUACAUUGGCAUUUUUUAUUUAUACAUUGUCUAAAGAAAACAUAAACGUAUAUGGUUUUUCUUAACCGUUGCUUUUUAUGACGUUUUACUUGUAGUAUUUAGUUUUCUUUUAGUUGUACUUAAAAUUUUAUGUUGCAGCUUCUAAUAUUGAAUCUUCGAAAAGCUAUGGAGAUUAUCGUCAUCAUCUCAAAAAACUAAAAAUACAAGAUAUGCAUCCAAAUACUAAUUAAUUAGUACUAAUUAUUAUCGGGAAAAAUGUCAAAAAAAAUCCCGAACUUUCAAAUUUGGGAUGGUUUAAUCCCCAACUUUUGAGAAGUCAUUUUAAUCACAAAGUUUAUGUUGACUUUUCUGUAAAAUAGCUAAGUUUGUUGACCUUGCUGAUUUAAGCACGACGUUUAUUCUAUGUUAAAAUCUUGAAGACGGGAUUAACUAUUUGUGUGUUGGUUCCAUUUAGCCUAAAUAACCACGCUUUUUAAACAACGAAACGACGCUAGAAGUCACUUUCUUCCUCCAUGCGUCCG
rnacentral:lncRNA from 1 species